UCCAGGGUAGCCUAGUGGACAUGGCAUCUGCCCGGUAAGCGGAACAUUGUGGGUUCGAUUCACAUCCCUGGAG
rnacentral:tRNA from 1 species